rnacentral:rRNA from 1 species
GACGAACGCUGGCGGCGUGCUUAACACAUGCAAGUCGAACGGAAAGGCCCUGCGUUUGUUGGGUUCUCGAGUGGCGAACGGGUGAGUAACACGUGAGUAACCUGCCCUUGACUUUGGGAUAACUUCAGGAAACUGGGGCUAAUACCGGAUAGGAGCUCCUGCUGCAUGGUGGGGGUUGGAAAGUUUCGGCGGUUGGGGAUGGAAUCGCGGGUUAUCAGCUUGUUGGUGGGGUAGUUGCUUACCAAGGCUUUGACGGGUAGCCGGCCUGAGAGGGUGACCGGCCACAUUGGGACUGAGAUACGGACCAGACUGGUACGGGAGGCAGCAGUGGGAAAUAUUGCACAAUGGGCGGAAGCCUGAUGCAGCAACGCCGCGUGCGGAAUGACGGCCUUCGGGUUGUAAACCGAUUUCGCCUGAGACGAAGCGUGAGUGACGGUAACGGGUAAAGAAGCACCGGCUAACUACGUG